rnacentral:rRNA from 1 species
CUCCUACGGGAGGCUGCAGUAAGGAAUAUUGGGCAAUGGACGCAAGUCUGACCCAGCCAUGCCGCGUGAAGGAAGACGGCCCUAUGGGUUGUAAACUUCUUUUCUCAGGGGGUAAACUCUGGAACGUGUUCCGGACUGAAAGUACCUGAGGAAUAAGCAUCGGCUAACUCCGUGCCAGCAGCCGCGGUAAUACGGAGGAUGCGAGCGUUAUCCGGAUUCAUUGGGUUUAAAGGGUGCGCAGGCGGAUAUAUAAGUCGGAGGUGAAAUUCUGAUGCUCAACAUCAGCCGUGCCUUCGAUACUGUAUAUCUAGAGUCAAGUUGGAGUAGGCGGAAUGUGUUGUGUAGCGGUGAAAUGCUUAGAUAUAACACAGAACACCGAUCGCGAAGGCAGCUUACUAAACUUUGACUGACGCUCAUGCACGAAAGCGUGGGGAUCAAACAGGAUUAGAUACCCUGGUAGUCCACGCUGUAAACGAUGAUUACUCGCUGUUGGCGAUACACAGUCAGUGGCUAAGCGAAAGUGAUAAGUAAUCCACCUGGGGAGUACGACGGCAACGUUGAAACUCAAAGGAAUUGACGGGGGCCCGCACAAGCGGAGGAGCAUGUGGUUU